rnacentral:rRNA from 1 species
AACGUAGGGGACAAGCGUUAUCCGGAUUUACUGGGCGUAAAGCGCCCGUAGGCGGCCUGACAAGUUGGACGUGAAAGCUCCUGGCUUAACUGGGAGAGGCCGUUCAAAACUGUCAAGCUAGAGUCUGGAAGAGGAGAGCGGAAUUCCCGGUGUAGUGGUGAAAUGCGUAGAGAUCGGAAAGAACACUCGUGGCGAAGGCGGCUCUCUGGGACGGUACUGACGCUGAGACGCGAAAGCGUGGGGAGCGAACAGG